GGAAGGAGAAGUCGUAACAAGGUUUUCCGUAGGUGAACCUGCGAGGAUCAUUG
rnacentral:rRNA from 1 species